GUCUGUACUUGAUAAUUUAACUUGCAUUUAAAAAACAUGUUAUUUUAUUAUUUUUUGGCCAUACUGCAUGACAUGUGGGAUUUGUUCCCUGACCAGGAAUCAAACUCAUGCCCCCUGCAUUGGAAGUAAGUCCUAACCACUGGACUACCUGGGAAGUCCCUAACUUGCCUUUUUCAAAAGCAGCAUUUCAUUGCUGAUUCUUUUGGUUCUCUUGGAGCUCCAUUAACUGUGAAAAAAAUUUUUUGUCUCAUUUGUGCAAAGCUGAUAUAUUUUUUUCCCUAUCUAAUCUACUCUUAUUUGACUGUAUUAAAUCUUAGCAUGCUUGUUUACCUUCAACUUAGUACAGGUCAGCUCUACUAAUCAAAUCUAUUAGUUCUGGCCUAUUAAAUAUCCCACCCAAUUGGAUAUCGACAGUAAACUCUUGAGAGUUUGCCCUCUCCUAUUUUGUAAGUUAUUACAUUGAUGAAAAUUCUUUUUACCAAAUUCUUUGCUGUUUUGGAAAUGAGAAAUGGAACAACUAAUAAACAUGCAAAAAAAUGUUUCUUAAUUCAUUUUAAGAAACUUGUUUAGUAAAUGGUGUUUAUUUCAAAUUAUGCUUGAGAUUAAAAAAAAAAAGGCUGUGUGGAUAUACUUUUGAAAAUGUUAGGUGUGUAAUAUGUAAGGGUUUGGCAAGCAUUUCUGUUGAUUUAUAUUCUUUGUUUGGAUCUCUGUGGCUCCAAAUACCAGUCAGGAAGUAUAAAACUCACUUUAUUAGCCAGUUUUACUCAUUCUUACAUCAGAACACUUUCCUGCAAGUGGCAACUGCAUGGAAUGGUAAUUCUCUCUUGAGUGGAAAGGAAGUAUGUUAGCUUAUCUAACUGAUAGGUCUAAGAGUAGAGCUGGCUUCAGAUGUAUUAGGGUCACAGUGAUACCACUACUCAGUUUUCCUUUCAUAUCUUGCCUCCAGUCUCAGGUAGGCUUUCCCAUUAUAACACUAAAAUAAGCACGAAAAGCUUCAGGUUUAUAGACUUUGUAACUCCACGUGUGGUGGAAAAGAGGGCCUCUCUUCUGGCAGCUCCCACAGAGGAACUGUGAUUUUCUCUGGUUGGAGUAAAGUCACAUAUCUUCUUGGAAUGGUCAUUAUGGAAAGGGGGUUGAAGAGUAUGUUUGGCAGAAAAAUUUGAGGUUACUGAUUGUUAUGGGUUGAAUUGUGCCCCUCCAAUUUAUAUGUUGAAAUCCGAACCCCUCAAUACUUCAGAAAUAUGACUUUACUUGGAAAUAGAGUCAUUAUGAAUGUAAUUAUUUAAGAGGAGGUCAUCAAGGAAUAGAGUGGGCUGCUGAUCCAAAAUCACUGACGUCUACAUCAAAAGGAGAAAUUUUGACACAGACACACAUGUAGGCAGAAUGUCAUGUGGAGGUUGGACUUAAGCUGCCACAUGCCAAGGAACUACCAGAAAUAGGAGAGAAGCCUAGAGCCGAUCCUUCGCUAGUACCUUCAGAGGGAGUUUGGCCCUGCCAGCAUCUUGUUUUGGACUUCUGGCUUCCAGACUGUGAGACAGUAAAUUUCUGUUCUCCAAAGCCACUCAGUUUUUGGUACUUCAUUAUGGCAGCCCUAGCAAACUAAUGCAGUGGUCAUGAAUUUAUAGUUAUACCAAUCUGUCCUGUUGAAUGACUUUUUAGGCUCAGCCUCAAAGAAGGAGGAUAGUUGGGUUCAUCCAGGUUUGGAGUUUUGCUGUACUUGUGUGUUCUAAAAGAGAACAAGAGAAUUUAGAUUAUUGACAAGAGGAUUAUUGAAAUGAUGCACCAUAGGCUGUAAACUGAAUGAUGAGGGACAUAAAGCAAAGAGAUGGUUUAGUCUGAUGGGUCACAGAAAGGGUCCAAGGAUAAGAAGUCUUACAAAGGUCAAAGGAAGAUCACUUGAAAGAGAAGGUUAUGGUUGGAGAACAAGAUGCUUGAAAUAGUGGUUUGGAAUAUAGAGCAGUUUGGAUAAAGGUAGAAGAGCCAGGAGUGAGGUUACUAUGGGAGUAACAGGAUGACUGGGCCAUAAUAUAUCCACAUUGGUGGUACUUUGUAAAACUCUGUUUUGAAGAGACGAUUGGUGUUAAGGGCAUCAAGGAAGUAAAAAUCCAAGUUGUUGGAUGGGCUAUCCAAGUUUAUGGUGAAGUCAACCAGUUGAUGGAGGUUUAGGGUGGAGAAGAAUACAAUGAGUCAUGUGCCAUAGCCUCAGGUGAGUGAGGUAGAGAAAACCAGGAGGUUNNNNNNNNNNNNNNNNNNNNNNNNNNNNNNNNNNNNNNNNNNNNNNNNNNNNNNNNNNNNNNNNNNNNNNNNNNNNNNNNNNNNNNNNNNNNNNNNNNNGUGCCAUAGCCUCAGGUGAGUGAGGUAGAGAAAACCAGGAGGUUAAAAUGUAACAGUGAUAAGGAAAGGGAGAUAGUAGUUUUGCUGAAAAGGAAACACCUCAGGAGAGCAGAGUUUUAUUUGGUCUUUGUUUUAAAAACAAAGACAAUGUGGACAAGCUUCACAGGGAAGCAGAGGGUUUUAAUCCCAUUUCUGGAACCUGAGAUAGUCAGGAAGUUAAAACUGGACAGCAGCCAUUUGAGAGGGCUUCAAGGGAGGUAAGAGAUUGUUUCAGUUAGAGCAGGGGGUUGGAGGUAGCAUCCCGAGAAAAGGCUGGCUUUUCUCUUCAGGAGAGGAUGUAGGGAAGUAGAGAGAACAUUCUCAGAAAUUGAGGAAAAAGGGACUUGCUUACUUUUUUCUUUCUGUACUAGACUAGUAAAGCCCUUGAAAACAAGGACUGUGUAAUUCAUCAUGAUGCCUGUCUCAGUCUUUGGCAAGUAUUAGGUUAUGAAUAAAUGUGAAAUAAUUUAUACUCCCAGCNNNNUUGGAGAAUGUACUGCAAGAAGGAAUUGCACAAAUAAUUUAUUCAGCUCAUAAACUUCAUAUUUUUUGAGGACGUUCAUAUGUAGGUAUUAUGGAUUUGGUGGUGAAAUAAGAUAGGUGUGAUUUUCUCCUCUCAUGGAGCAAAUGUUAUAGUGAGGGCAAAAAUAAUGAAGAAACAAACAGACAAAAUAAAAACAAUAUGUAACAGGUCUCUGAAGGAAACAAGCAAAGCUGAAGUAGAAAAUUUAAAAAGGGCCUAUUUUAUGAUGAUCCGUAUAGGACUCUGAGUGGGUAACAUUUAAGCUGAGUCCUAAAAAAAUUGAAGACACCACCUAUGUUUUCAGGAACAAAGAAUGACAUGUGGAAAGACUGAGUUGAGACAGAGCUUGCUCUUUUAGAAGAACUGAAAUAUCAGUAAAGUUAGUGGCCCUAAGUGUAUCUGGAGAGGUGAGCAGAAGCUGAAUCAUGCAGGGACUCAAAGCCCUGUCAAGUUUAGAUUUAAUUUUUUCUCAAAUGAGAAGACAUGGAGGGGUUUAAACAGAAGAAUGUUAUGUUCUUAUUUAUAUUUACAUACACUCAGCAGUCUGUGUGAGGGGAUGGAUUAAAUGUUCUAGUAGUCAAGAUGAUAUAUGAACUGCACUACAGACAGAGGUGAAUGAGUUCAAUGUAUGUUUUGGAAUUAGAGUUCAUAGUAUUUGCAUAUGAUAGAUUGUAAAAUUGAGAAUGAGGGACAUGCUGACAGAUUAUUUGGCUUGUGCACACGUGGUUAGUGGUAGGAGAGGCAUAGAUUCUUGGCGAAAAAAAAUAUACAAGUUUUGUUAGAUGUUUGGGAGAUAUCCAAGUGGAGAUAUAAAGUAGAUGGUAUAUAAGUUUAGAGUUCAGAGAUGAGGUCAGAACUAAAGAUACGAUAUUCACCAACUUAAGUGUAGUAUUUGAACCAGGGGGAUUGAUGUGAUCAUCUGGUUGCCCAGACGUGUAGAAAAAGGACAUGAGAGAUGAGGCUGUGAAUGUCCUUUGUAGAAGCUAAAGUGCUGUACAAGCGCAGGAAAUGAUUAUUUUGUUUCAUUUGUUCCUUACUUGAAUUUUUAUAAAUCCACAUAUCAUUCGUGCUUAAAGAUAAUGCCUCUCCUCUUUCUGUUUAUUUGGGGCUGGCUAGAAUAGUGUAUGUAGGACUCACUGUCUUCUGAUGACAGACCCAAAACUGGUCUUUGUAUUCAUUCUUUGUCACUCUGCCACCCAGAUUUUUGGGUCAGGUUGAAUUGGAUUUGACAAAAGUUACUCCUUUACUGGUUUGAGUUGCUGGUAUGGUCUCUUAAUAAUCCAUUGUUUUUCAGUAGUAUAUAGCUGUACUCUCUUUUGAAAUUCUUUUGUCUACUUAAAGUCCCUGUAAUCUUUUAUUUCUGAUAAUCUCCAAAGCAGAUGUAUUCUUAAAUUCAGAUUUUGAAAACUUUUUUUAGAAUACUCUUCUUAGAGUGCUCCUAGGUCUUUGCUAGCUGACUCAUCAAUUUAUAAUGAUUUGUUAUGGAACAAACAUGAGAUGUUUGCAGAAGAGAGCAUUGCAAAAGAGAGCAGUUUUGAGGGCAGAGGCCCUAUAUAGUUUUUGUAACCCCAGGUACCUAAACCUAUUGUUCUGUCUCUAAAAGGUCUCCAAUCCAUGUUUAUUAAAUUAUUAAAUGAGUUAUGAAUAACAGAGUUGAGGGUUUUUACUGUAUAUUCUCUAAGGGAACUGCUGGGAUGGCUGCUUGUGUUUUCUUGGGCCCCUCCCUGCCAGCU
rnacentral:lncRNA from 1 species